GACGAACGCUGGCGGCGUGCCUAAUACAUGCAAGUCGAACGCAUUUUCUUUCACCGUAGCUUGCUACACCGAAAGAAAAUGAGUGGCGAACGGGUGAGUAACACGUGGGUAACCUGCCCAUCAGCGGGGGAUAACACUUGGAAACAGGUGCUAAUACCGCAUAAUUCCAUUUACCGCAUGGUAGAUAGAUGAAAGGCGCUUUUGCGUCACUGAUGGAUGGACCCGCGGUGCAUUAGCUAGUUGGUGGGGUAACGGCCUACCAAGGCUGCGAUGCAUAGCCCGCCGGGAGGGGGUGUCGGCCACAAGGGGAAUGAGACACCGCCCAGACCCCUAGGGGGGGGCAGAGUGGGGAAUUUGGGGAAAGGGACGAAAGGCGGACCGGGCAACGGCGGGGGGGGGAAAAAGGUUUUGGGGACGGAAAACCCUGUUGUUAGGAAAAAAAAAGGAUGGGGGGGGAAAGUUACCCCCUUGGCGGUUAUAAACCAAAAAGCCCGGGGAAACUACG
rnacentral:rRNA from 1 species